UACGGAAGGUCCAGGCGUUAUCCGGAUUUAUUGGGUUUAAAGGGAGCGUAGGCCGCCCCUUAAGCGUGUUGUGAAAUGCCGCGGCUCAACCGUGGCACUGCUGCGCGAACUGGGGGGCUUGAGUGCACGCAACGCAGGCGGAAUUCGUGGUGUAGCGGUGAAAUGCUUAGAUAUCACGAAGAACUCCGAUUGCGAAGGCAGCUUGCGGGAGUGCGACUGACGCUGAAGCUCGAAGGUGCGGGUAUCGAACAGG
rnacentral:rRNA from 1 species